UACCUGGUUGAUCCUGCCAGUAGUCAUAUGCUUGUCUCAAAGAUUAAGCCAUGCAAGUCUAAGUACGAGCUCUCGUACAGUGAAACUGCGAAUGGCUCAUUAAAUCAGUUAUGGUUCAUUUGAUCGUACAGUUUACUUGGAUAACUGUGGUAAUUCUAGAGCUAAUACAUGCGAGAAGCGCCGACCUCGCGGGAGGCGUGCAUUUAUCAGACCAAAAACCGGCCGCGUCUUCGGGCGCGUUCGCCUUGGUGACUCUGGAUAACUUUGCGGAUCGCACGGUCUAGCACCGGCGACGGAUCAUUCAAGUGUCUGCCCUAUCAACUUUCGUCGGUACGGUAUUUGCCUACCGAGGUUCUUACGGGUGACGGGGAAUCAGGGUUCGAUUCCGGAGAGGGAGCCUGAGAAACGGCUACCACAUCCAAGGAAGGCAGCAGGCGCGCAAAUUACCCAUUCCCGACGCGGGGAGGUAGUGACGAAAAAUAACAAUGCAGGACUCGUUCGAGGCCCUGUAAUUGGAAUGAGUACACUUUAAAAGCUUUAACGAGUAUCCAUUGGAGGGCAAGUCUGGUGCCAGCAGCCGCGGUAAUUCCAGCUCCAAAAGUAUAUAUUUAAGGUGUUGCGGUUAAAAAGCUCGUAGUUGGAUUUUGGGCGC
rnacentral:ncRNA from 1 species